UAAUCAAAGUGUUUUUAUGGCACUUUUAAAAAAUCCAUAUCCACCUUGUGUGCAAUGUCAUCUCACUGGAGGCCAGCGGCUGUAAAAAGCCUGUUUGGUCGCCUUUGGGAUUUAUAUCUACUCAGAACUUUAGUGAUUUUGUCUGAAAAAUAUUAUGAAUAACUUAAUUCAAAAUA
rnacentral:misc_RNA from 1 species